AUUGAACGCUGGCGGCAGGCCUAACACAUGCAAGUCGAGCGGAGCGGCGGACGGGUGAGUAAUGCCUAGGAAUCUGCAUGGUAGUGGGGGAUAACGUCCGGAAACGGGCGCUAAUACCGCAUCCUAUCAGUUUAGCCUAGGUCGGAUUAGCUAGUUGGUGGGGUAAAGGCCUACCAAGGCGACGAUCCGUAACUGGUCGGAGAGGAUGAUCAGUAAAAGUGGAACGGAGAAACGGUCAAGACUCCUACGGGGGGCAGCAGGGGGGAAUAUUGGACAAUGGGCGAAAGCCGGAUCCAGACAUGCCGCGUGUGUGAAGAAGGUCUUCGGAGUGUAAAGCACGUUAAGUUGGGAGGCGUUACCAACAGAGUAAGCACCGGCUAACUUCGUGCCAGCAGCCGCGGUAAUUC
rnacentral:rRNA from 1 species